GUCAUACUCCCUUCGUCCGAAAAUUCUUGUCUUAAAUUUUUCUAAAUACGAAUGUAUCAAGUCACAUUUUAGUAUUAAAUACAUUUGUAUCUAGAAAAAUCUAAGAUAAGAAUUUUGGGACGGAGGGAGUACAAG
rfam:Triticum urartu cultivar G1812 contig129932, whole genome shotgun sequence.